UUUUAAGUAUAAGUAUAUCCCAUGCAACAUGUGGGAUAUACUUAUACUAAAA
rfam:Ovis aries breed Texel chromosome 1, whole genome shotgun sequence.